rnacentral:rRNA from 1 species
UGGGGAAUUUUGGACAAUGGGGGCAACCCUGAUCCAGCAAUGCCGCGUGUGUGAAGAAGGCCUUCGGGUUGUAAAGCACUUUUGUCCGGGAAGAAAUCCCCUGCCCUAAUACGGCGGGGGAUGACGGUACCGGAAGAAUAAGCACCGGCUAACUACGUGCCAGCAGCCGCGGUAAUACGUAGGGUGCGAGCGUUAAUCGGAAUUACUGGGCGUAAAGCGUGCGCAGGCGGUGAUGUAAGACCGAUGUGAAAUCCCCGGGGCUCAACCUGGGAACUGCAUUGGGUGACUGCAUUGCUCGAGUAUGGCAGAGGGGGGUGGGAAUUCCACGUGUAGCAGUGAAAUGCGUAGAGAUGUGGAGGAACACCGAUGGCGAAGGCAGCCCCCUGGGCCAAUACUGACGCUCAUGCACGAAAGCGUGGGGAGCAAACAGGAUUAGAUACCCUGGUAGUCCACGCCCUAAACGAUGUCAACUGGUUGUCGGGCCUUCAUUGGCUUGGUAACGUAGCUAACGCGUGAAGUUGACCGCCUGGGGAGUACGGUCGCAAGAUUAAAACUCAAAGGAAUUGACGGGGUCAUAGCUG